rnacentral:lncRNA from 1 species
AGUGAUUUUUCUACAAUAAUUCAAUUUACAUAACGAUAUGGAUGAUGAUGAUGAUGAUAUACAGUAUAUUAUUAUUUUGAUAUCAGUUGUAUAUUGAAAAAUUAGAAAAGUUAUAAAAAUAUAUCGAAUGUAUAAAAAUAUCAACGGUACAAUUCCGCAAAGUUACCCACCCAUUAAAUUUGGGGUGGGUAACUUUGCGAUCUCCAUCGAUGUAUUUCUCUCAAAGAACUAUACCUGUAUCAGAUACAGUUACGGAAUUAAAGCUGUUAUAAAUAUUUUAACUUUAGUGACGUUAUUUUCCGUAAAGCAGCUGCUAGCAAAUGCGCGUCGCGUCGUGGUGCGAAAAUCCAAGGGAAGCGCAUGCUUAAAUUACGUUACGCAGGAAUAAAAUGCUUCCUUUCCUACUGAUUUUGAUGGGAUACUGUUGGCAUCAGACACUUUUUGACACACUACCAGCUGCGCAUCACCCAUGAUGGGGUCAGUCGAAGAUUAACGGAUGGAGAUCUACGGACUAAGCCCCCGAGUCCACCUAAAGUAUAGCAUGGGCCCUGAUUCUCCAAGAUUAUAAGGAACUGCUUUAUUAUGCGGUCAUCCAGACAAUUCUCUGUUAUUUUUGAUGGCAUAUAUUAUGCCACCGCAUCAAUUAGUAUUUAUGAAUGCCCAUAUUUGAAUAUAUUCAAAACUACCUAACUUCAUUUGUUGUACAUCUGCAAAGCAUCCAGCUGUUUCGAUGAUGGAAGACUGAUCUUCUGGAGCGUUCACUAUCACGCUCUUUCAAAAUCCAUUUACGCGUUCCGUUUUAUGCGUUUUGUAGAUAUGCUGUUUGCUUUGUAGACAUUCAUUCGUGUAAACAUUCAUUCACAUUCAUCUUGAUUGUAAGCUAUAGAUAUACAACACUUAAUAUUCAUUGGCCAGUAUGCAAAAUAGAUGAAUUAGUCAUGUCGUGUGAGGAAUGAUAAUGUAAUGUCUUUUUGGCACUACAGUUAAUUUAUAAUAAAGGAUAAAUAAACGAAAUUUUCAUAUACGAGUAAUAGAAUUAUAGGAUUAAUAUCUAAGAUUAUUCUGUAAU